rnacentral:lncRNA from 1 species
UUUUGCCAUAGUAUAUCCAUAAACUCAAUCCCUCUGAUCAGCUCCCCCGACCUACUUUCUGUGUUCUGUUUUUUGUUUUGUUUUGUUUUGUUUUUGUCGUUCUAUUUUUCUUAGCUUUUAUUUCUCAGCCAGCCCAUUCCACCAAGGAGACCCCCAUUUCCAUUACCUGCACAGGAUGCAGGCGAGAACUGGCGCCUGGAACUGGGA